rnacentral:rRNA from 1 species
GAUGAACGCUGGCGGCGUGCCUAAUACAUGCAAGUCGAGCGAACGGACGAGAAGCUUGCUUCUCUGAUGUUAGCGGCGGACGGGUGAGUAACACGUGGAUAACCUACCUAUAAGACUGGGAUAACUUCGGGAAACCGGAGCUAAUACCGGAUGAUAUUUUGAACCGCAUGGUUCAAAAGUGAAAGACGGUCUUGCUGUCACUUAUAGAUGGAUCCGCGCUGCAUUAGCUAGUUGGUAAGGUAACGGCUUACCAAGGCAACGAUGCAUAGCCGACCUGAGAGGGUGAUCGGCCACACUGGAACUGAGACACGGUCCAGACUCCUACGGGAGGCAGCAGUAGGGAAUCUUCCGCAAUGGGCGAAAGCCUGACGGAGCAACGCCGCGUGAGUGAUGAAGGUCUUCGGAUCGUAAAACUCUGUUAUUAGGGAAGAACAUAUGUGUAAGUAACUGUGCUCAUCUUGACGGUACCUAAUCAGAAAGCCACGGCUAACUACGUGCCAGCAGCCGCGGUAAUACGUAGGUGGCAAGCGUUAUCCGGAAUUAUUGGGCGUAAAGCGCGCGUAGGCGGUUUUUUAAGUCUGAUGUGAAAGCCCACGGCUCAACCGUGGAGGGUCAUUGGAAACUGGAAAACUUGAGUGCAGAAGAGGAAAGUGGAAUUCCAUGUGUAGCGGUGAAAUGCGCAGAGGUAUGGAGGAACACCAGUGGCGAAGGCGACUUUCUGGUCUGUAACUGACGCUGAUGUGCGAAAGCGUGGGGAUCAAACAGGAUUAGAUACCCUGGUAGUCCACGCCGUAAACGAUGAGUGCUAAGUGUUAGGGGGUUUCCGCCCCUUAGUGCUGCAGCUAACGCAUUAAGCACUCCGCCUGGGGAGUACGACCGCAAGGUUGAAACUCAAAGGAAUUGACGGGGACCCGCACAAGCGGUGGAGCAUGUGGUUUAAUUCGAAGCAACGCGAAGAACCUUACCAAAUCUUGACAUCCUUUGACAACUCUAGAGAUAGAGCCUUCCCCUUCGGGGGACAAAGUGGCAGGUGGUGCAUGGUUGUCGUCAGCUCGUGUCGUGAGAUGUUGGGUUAAGUCCCGCAACGAGCGCAACCCUUAAGCUUAGUUGCCAUCAUUAAGUUGGGCACUCUAAGUUGACUGCCGGUGACAAACCGGAGGAAGGUGGGGAUGACGUCAAAUCAUCAUGCCCCUUAUGAUUUGGGCUACACACGUGCUACAAUGGACAAUACAAAGGGCAGCGAAACCGCGAGGUCAAGCAAAUCCCAUAAAGUUGUUCUCAGUUCGGAUUGUAGUCUGCAACUCGACUACAUGAAGCUGGAAUCGCUAGUAAUCGUAGAUCAGCAUGCUACGGUGAAUACGUUCCCGGGUCU